UUUUUUUUUUGUACCUGUGUAAAGUUUUUGUGUAUUAUCACCUCUGGUGUAGUAUAUAAUAUUAUUAUGUGUACGAUUAAGGAUUUUUUGCCGUUCGUUUUCCUAUCGGGAUCGAACCAUUAUAUUUAAGGUUAUUUUUUUCUUUUCGUCUAAAAUAAGUGACGUGCGCAAGUAAGUGUACAAUAGUAGUGCGGAUCUUCACGGAGUCGGAUUGCGCAUUAGGUGCAGAAUUCAUUAUAAUCGUUAAGUAUAUGAGAUAAGGGAUGGAAAAAAAAAAUUAUAAAAUCGUUGAUAGGACGAUAAUAGUAUAUAGUGUGGGUAGGUAUUAUUAGUCUUCUAUUAAAUAAAUAGUUUUUUUUUUUUUUUUUAAUAAAAAAAAACGAUACCAACGAUAAUGACAAUGCAGUUUAUUUCAUUUGUAUACCACCACCAAUCAGAUAACUGUACAAUUUUAACAACCCUCCUCUCCCCCCCUCUCCCAUCGGGCGAGAGGAAUACACUCGACAUUUUGUAUUAUUAUUAUUAUUAUUGUUUUUUUUUUUUUUUUUUUUCUUAGUUUUGUAUCUAGUCAAGAGUCGAAAAUUAACAACUGUCUAACGUAGUAUAAAUUUAAUAAUAAAACGUAACAUGUAAUGGAAAACAAAAUUCAAACUACUCUGGAUCCCUAUUUCGUAGUGACACAAGUUAUGUUUCAUACACAUUUUGUUUUUAUUUAUUUAGCACUUUUUUUUUUUUUUUAGUUAGCGUUUUUUUCAUUAUUUAGUUAAUUUUGGUUUUUCUCGUUCGUGUAUAGUCAUAUAUUAUGUGUAUUCUGUGUACCUAUAUAAUAUAUUUUAGCAAUAAUUUAAUAUUCGAUAACGGCAUCACGUUUUUUUUUUUUUUUUUUUUUUUCUACAUUAAUUUUAUAAUUUUUAAAUCGUUUUAAGUUUGUCGGGGCAGAAGAAAGCCUAGAGAAAUACGCGUCUUAUUGGUAUGAAUUCUUUUUGGUUUAUUUUUUUUCCGCGCCGAGUCGCGUUUUUUCUUAUAGUGCGAGAUGUAUUUUCUUCUCGGGUCGAAACGUCACGUGUGCGUACGGAGAGGGGAUGGGGGGAAAUUGAAAAAAAAAAAAAGAACGAAAUAGAAUAUCGCGGUAUAAUGCAUAAUUAUAAAAGCGAGAGGAGGAAAUCACGUCGUUUAUGCGGCGGGUCGUAUCGCUUCGGACGAAAAAAAUUGUGUUCAAAAUGAUUACCGGCUGUACGUUCGGAUAAUACAAUAAUAAUUGACGUUACACAUAAUUGUUAUAAAAUUACCGAUGCGGGGGGAAAAAAAAAUUAAUAAUUUUCUACGUUAUUUCGGUGGACAUAAUAAGAAAAAUUAAAAUCUCCUCGGAUUUCGCAAUCUAACCCGUUACAAUAUCCAAUUAAUUGUUGGGCGUCGAAUAUAAUUUAGUGCGUUUUGAAACGGAAAACGAAAAAAUGAAAAAGACGUUUUUGUAUAUAUUAUGUAUUAAACAAUUAUGCGGCUCGCGAGAAUAUCGCACAUUAUUAUGUAAAAUACGCGGUCGUUUUUAAAAAAAAAAAAAUUAAUGAUACAUUUUUUUUCCAACGAUCUCUCGAGAGUAAAAUCUGUCGUUUACGUAUACGUAAAAUCGCAUUUUACUUUAAACCCCGGUCGAAUGAUAUAACAAUACAGGUACGAUGGCUAUUUUGUGGAUACGUGCGCGUGAAUUCGUUCACCGGUCGCGUAUUAUAGUUUUGAAAAUCAUUUUCAUCGCUUGCAGUCACAACCGAAAUACGUCCACCGGUUGCCAUCGUACUUAGCCCAGAUUUUAAUCACCAUCUCGGCUAUUUCUCUCUCUCUCUCUCUCUCUCUCUCUCUAUCUAUCUAUCUAUCUCGUGCUCAACCUUAUCCUCGUAGUAUUACUAUAAGUAUCCCCCCCCCAAAAAAAAAAACAAAAUUUACCGAAAAAAUCUACCCGUAUCCAGUUCGAUUUAAUUUCCUCCUCCCAACCCCGAACUCAUCGCCCGAACUCGCGUUUAUUUUCCCAUUGUCGGUAAGGUUUUCAUUUUUUCCUCUUCUCUUUGUUUAACGCAAUAACUAUUAUUAUUAUUAUUACGUACCGCGACGGUUAUUCGAUUUCGUUUCGCGUCGAAUUCAUAAAAUACUAUUAUAGAUGCAUCGCGUGUGUGUAUUUGUGUGUGUGUGUGUGUGUGUGUAUGUGUGUUAUCGUCGUUGAAAAAUUUAAGUAGUAAAAUACGAGUUUAUAAUUCUUAAUAGACACGUACGAGCGUAGUAUAAUAUAAUAUGUAUUCGGCAUAGACGACAUUAGGGUGGUUUAAAAAAAAAAAAAAAAAAAAAUAGUUUAUAGCGAGUGAAUCGUAAACAAUAAUAAUUUUAUACUUGUUUGCUAAACUUAAUAAUAUGAUAAACGUAAUAAUUUAAUGGUUACACAAAAAAUAUUUCAUAAGAGUGAAGUAAGAGAAUAUAAAUAUUCGACUAACAACGAUUUUUGGAAAUUUUAAAUUUAUAUAAAUUAGGUGCAUGUAAUGGAAUUAUUGUAAAAGCGUCUGUAUUUAAAGUACAAAAAAAAAAAAAAAAAAAAAAUUGAAAUGAAAUACAAAUUUUAAUAUCACCUGUCCAUUAUAGGUUUAUUAUUAUUAUGACGUGUUUUAGUUUGGCUAUUAUUAUAAUUAUAUUAUAUACGAAAAAAAAAAAAUGUUUAUUAAAAAGUGUGUUGGUAAUGUUGAUCGGAUAAGUUAGUUUUUUUUUUUUUUUAUUUUAAUAUUGUAGUUAUUAUAAAAUAUUAAGGCAUAAUUACAAUGUGUUCCAUACCCCCAAUGUGUCAAGAACUCAUAUUUCUCUUCCCCUUUUGCAUAGAUACAUAUUGUUAUAUUUAUAAAAACGAUAGUUCAAAAAAAAAAAAAAAAAAGUUUAUUAUGUCCAAGACAGGAAACAUCCUUCCUAAAUAUUUAUUGUUUGUUUUUUUUUUACUAUUAAUAGUGUUUUAGAUAAUUUGUUACGCAUUCGUUUUUUUUUUUUUUUUUUACAUUAUAUUACCAUUUUAAUUACCUAAUAACUUUAUUAAUAUUGUAGAUUUUCUCAAAAAUGUAGAUUUUUUUUUUUGUUUGUUUUGUUUUUGCUUUCAUAUCAGUAUGAUGAUGAUAUAAUAUAUAUAUAUAUAUAUAUAUAUGUAUAUUAUAUAUUAUAAGAAAAAAACUUAAAAUAAAAAUAAUGAAACCAAUCGUUGUUUUUUGCGUGCUAAUACACGGAAAGACGAUAUGAAUUUAAAAAAAAAAAAAAAAAACAAAAGAAAAAAAAAAAAAAUAAUACUAAAAAACGUCUCCGGGUGUAGUACCGCGUGAACGCUUAUAUAGAAAGAAAAAAAAUGUUCCUAAAUUGUUUAUUAUACUUUCCUGAUAAUGACACGAUAACGAUAAUAUUAUUAGGUAUACUAUAUUAUGUUUUUCGGUCCCUAAUAAUUUAUAAUUACAUAUUAUUCGGUUUAUAAAUCAUAUAUUUACGCAUUAUUAUAUUUGUAUCGUUUAAGGCAGUUUAUGUAAUUUUUUUUUUUUUUUUCUGUUAUAUUAUUACACAUUUGUGUUUAACAAUUUAUAAUAUUAUACGUAUUAUGUAAUCAUUGUUUAGACGUAUCAUAAUAAUAAAAUAACAAUAACGUGUCUACUAAUUCUUGCAGAAGUGUUUUUUUUUUUUUGUUUUUUACGUUUAUUAUUAUUAUUAUUAUUGUUCAUUUGUUUCUUCCUCGUGAUAUCCCCCUCUCAAUUAUAUUAUUAUAUUGUCCUCCAGCGCUACAUCAAAAAUACAUAAUAUGAUAAUAAUAGUAUGUUUGAUGUUUCAUAGUUGUUGUAUAAUUGUUUAUUAUUAUUAUUAUUAUUUUUUUUUUUUUUUUUUUUUUUUUAGUUAGUUUGUGUGGAUAAUAUUAUACAUAUACGAUUAUUUUUAUGCGGGGACUGGAGAACGCACUAUAAGUUAUUAUAUUAUAUAGAGUAAUAUAUUUAUAAUAAUUACUAUAAUCAUAAAAUUAAUAAUAAUAUAAUAUCACAACAAUAUUUUAUAAUAAUAUUAUGCUAUUAUAUAUAUAUAUAUUAAAAAAAAAAAAAAAAAAACCAUUACAG
rnacentral:lncRNA from 1 species